AACGAACGCUGGCGGCAUGCCUAACACAUGCAAGUCGAACGAGACCUUCGGGUCUAGUGGCGCACGGGUGCGUAACGCGUGGGAACCUGCCCUUAGGUUCGGAAUAACUCCCCGAAAGGGGUGCUAAUACCGGAUAAUGUCUUCGGACCAAAGAUUUAUCGCCUUUGGAUGGGCCCGCGUUGGAUUAGCUAGUUGGUAGGGUAAAAGCCUACCAAGGCGACGAUCCAUAGCUGGUCUGAGAGGAUGAUCAGCCACACUGGGACUGAGACACGGCCCAGACUCCUAGGGGAGGCAGGAGGGGGGAAUAUUGGACAAGGGGGGAAGGCCUGACCCAGCAAGGCCGGGGGGGUGAUGAAGGCCUUAGGGUUGUAAAGCUCUUUUACCCGGGAUGAAAAUGACAGUACCGGGAAAAUAAGCCCCGGCUAACCCCGU
rnacentral:rRNA from 1 species